rnacentral:lncRNA from 1 species
AUGAAUCCGGAAGGAUGUUGGGAUGUGGAGAAGAUAAGGAUGCUGGGAGGAAGAUACGAUGGGAAGAUGAACUGGGAUGCAAAUCCGGAUGGGGUUGAUCCGUGGAAGCUUUGGAAGAAGAAUCGGAAGCAUGGGAAAUGAAGAUGAGCAAAGAUCAUGGGAUUCGGCUGGUGGUUAUUCCGAAACAGAGGACGUGUGGUUGCCGUGAAGCUCGCAAGGAUGAAGCUCAUCCGGUUGAGAUGCGGCUGGGGAAAUCUAGGAGGUGGGUCGAACGGCUGGGAGAUGAAGCUUAUCCAGGUCGGAAUGCAGGGGAUUUGGAAGGAGCUCUUGGACGUUGGGAUGAAUCGUGGAUAAGGGGAUCUUUGGAAUCAAGCCGGAUGAUGGGAUUUUGUUUUGGGAUGCAGGGAAUUCGGAAGAAGAUUGCUGGCUGGGAGCGCGGAGAAGAUCUGGGAAGUUGGGAGAUUCUUGGUCUAUUCUGUGGCUGAAGUAGAGGAAGU